UACAGAGGGGGCAAGCGUUGUUCGGAAUUACUGGGCGUAAAGGGCGCGUAGGCGGCCUUCUAAGUCGAACGUGAAAUCCCCGGGCUCAACCCGGGAACUGCGUCCGAUACUGGAAGGCUAGAAUCCGGGAGAGGGAUGCGGAAUUCCAGGUGUAGCGGUGAAAUGCGUAGAUAUCUGGAGGAACACCGGUGGCGAAGGCGGCAUUCUGGACCGAAACUGACGCUGAGGCGCGAAAGCCAGGGGAGCAAACGGG
rnacentral:rRNA from 1 species